rnacentral:rRNA from 1 species
CCAGGANGCAGCAGGCNCGCAAAUUACCCACUCCCGGCACGGGGAGGUAGUGACGAAAAAUAACGAUACGGGACUCAUCCGAGGCCCCGUAAUCGGAAUGAGUACACUUUAAAACCUUUAACGAGUAUCCAUUGGAGGGCAAGUCUGGUGCCAGCAGCCGCGGUAAUUCCAGCUCCAAUAGCGUAUAUUAAAGUUGUUGCGGUUAAAAAGCUCGUAGUUGGAUUUGUGUCCCACGCUGUCGGUUCACCGUUCGUCGGUGUUUAACUGGCAUGCCUGUGCGGACGUCCUGCCGGUGGAUGCGGUCGGCCGUGGGCCAUUGGUCUGCGCGUCGGCGGUCCGAUUCAAUCCUACCGCGGUGCUCUUCACCGAGUGUCGAGGUGGGCCGGCACGUUUACUUUGAACAAAUUAGAGUGCUCAAAGCAGGCAGUGGUUCGCCUGAAUAUUGUGUGCAUGGAAUAAUGGAAUAGGACCUCGGUUCUAUUUUGUUGGUUUUCGGAACUUGAGGUAAUGAUUAAUAGGGACAGACGGGGGCAUUCGUAUUGCGACGUUAGAGGUGAAAUUCUUGGAUCGUCGCAAGACGAACCUAAGCGAAAGCAUUUGCCACGAGUGUUUUCAUUAAUCAAGAACGAAAGUUAGAGGUUCGAAGGCGAUCAGAUACCGCCCUAGUUCUAACCAUAAACGAUGCCAGCUAGCGAUCCGCCGAAGUUCCUCCGAUGACUCGGCGGGCAGCUUCCGGGAAACCAAAGCUUUUGGGUUCCGGGGGAAGUAUGGUUGCAAAGCUGAAACUUAAAGGAAUUGACGGAAGGGCACCACCAGGAGUGGAGCCUGCGGCUUAAUUUGACUCAACACGGGAAACCUCACCAGGCCCGGACACCGGAAGGAUUGACAGAUUGAGAGCUCUUUCUUGAUUCGGUGGGUGGUGGUGCAUGGCCGUUCUUAUUUGGUGG